UGUCUAGACUUCAACUCCCAGAAUUCCCCCUUAAGUCCUCAGGGAAAAGCCAAGAGGGCGGUGGGAUGCUUUGAGUAAUCACGGUUGCCAAGGAAGAGCGGAAUGAAUGCAACUCGGAUCUUGUUCCCUCCGGAUUUUUUUAAAGAAGGGGACAUGAGGCUUUUCCGGUGUGGAUCACAGCUGUGCGAAAAGGCUGUGGAGGAGUUGAACGGGCAGUUCCUGUUUCCGGCAUAUGCGAGGAGAAAGGGUGAUUUCGGGAGUGCGGGGGAAAAAAAAUAGCCAGGAAAGGUUUUUGUCAUGGCGCUGGGGAAGGUGUCGGUGCGACGUUGGCUUCGAAGUUGCUCUUUCCUGGAGACACGUUUCUUUCGCGAGGCUCCAAGAAUAAAACCCGGCUGCAGCCGUCAACUUUCUUCAGGCCAUGGAGGAAAAAGGGGAGUCGAGGUGUUUGAAAAAUCCAGAAUUUUCAAAAGAGGAUUUAUAUUCUCAGCAUUGUCCUACCUGGGAUACAACACUUAUCUAGUAAUCUCUCGGUCUGCUAUGGUUCGUGCUGAUGUGAAAGUUGGUGAAAUCCUAGAUCAAGCAGACUAUCUCUACGGAAGUGGAGAAACAGAAAAGCUUUAUCAGUUGCUGAGUGAACACAAAAACAGUGAAAAUGCACAAGUGUUAUGGCGUCUGGCACGAGCUUUACGAGACCUUGCUCAGCUUAGUCAAACUUCAGCAGAAAAAAAGAAGCAGCUGGCUUAUGAAGCCCUUGAUUAUGCAGAGAAGGCACUUGAGAAAGACAACACUUGUUAUAGCGUACACAAGUGGUAUGCAAUAUGCCUCAGUGAUGUGGGAGAUUAUGAAGGAAUAAAGAAAAAAAUCUCCAGUGCUUUUGUUAUUAAGGAACAUUUUCAGAAAGCAAUUGAUUUGAAUCCAAAGGAUGCUACUUCACUUCAUCUUAUGGGCAUUUGGUGUUACACAUUUGCUGAUAUGCCAUGGUAUCAGAGGAACAUAGCUGCUAUUUUAUUCUCAACACCACCCAGCUCUACCUAUGAAGAAGCAUUACAGUACUUUCAAAAGGCUGAAAAUGUUGAACCAAAUUUCUAUAGUAAAAACUUGUUGUUCUUGGGAAAGACUUACAUGAAAUUAAAUAAUAAAAAGAUGGCCCUUCUUUGGUUAACAAAAGCUAGAGAUCGACUACCACAUACAGAAGAAGAUAAGCAGGUAAGUUACUUUCACAGCCAGAUAUGUAUAUAGAUAUAGAAAAUACAUUUCAAAUAUUCUUGUGCUAGAACACAUACUGAACACACAUCAGUGCUUUAAUUAGCAUUACACUGUAGCCUAAAGCUUUGUUUCCCGAUCUUGGAAAUAUAUUGUUCCACUUUCAGAACUAACCAGCCAACAUGAUCUUUGCUGAGAGUAAUCAUCUGUGAACUGGACAGCAUCUAAAUUUAAUAAAUUAUUAAUCUAAAGAAAUCUUGGAAAUGUAUAUUGAAAUAAAUCAUAAUUAUGUUAUGAAACGUUAGAUGUUAACAGACUAUCAAAUGAUUAUAGAAAUGUUAGAUCUAGCGUAAUAUGAAUAUUGUUAUAAAGCAUUGUUAAUGUUUUUCAUCGAAACUAAGUUUAAAAAUGGACAGUUGGAAUAGAGGAAUUUCCUGUAGAUUUCUUUCUGUCCCUUUUUCAGGGGAAAAGGAUUGAAAGGAUUUCAUAAAUUUUGAUAACGAUACUCUGGUUGGGUUCCACUGUACUUCUUUGUGAGAAUUUUACCUGGAGCUUGGCUUUUCAGUUUUAAUUUAUAGCAGCACUGAGGUACAAAAAGAAGCUUUGGAAAUACUAAAUUCCAUAUGACAUGUUUACUCAAAAUAUAUGAACUGAUGAACUAAGCAACUAAACAGAAAACUAAACAGUUAUAUUGUGGUUUAAAUUGGUAUAUGGAGAAAAUAAUAAAUUCCAGAUUUUACUGACA